ensembl:lncRNA
GGUGGGCGGGGUGGGCAGGGCCCGUCCGGCGCUGGCCGGGAGUUUAAGUUCUUUCUGCUCGUGCCACUGCACUUCAGCGAAAGUAUCUGUGUGGCCCUGGAUAUUGCUGAAGGACCUGCUUUCUACUGCUUUCGGCGUUUAACUUCCUUGUGGGGUCAGCAGCAUGUCUUCCGCCGAGUGUACCUCAAGACUUCUCCUGGUCCUCACUUCACUGCUGCUGGUGCUGCCAGUGGUUGAAGCCAUGGACGCAGGAGAUACAAUUGCCUUCCUGCUGGGCCUCGCUGUCAGUGUCAUUGGAUUCUGUGCCUGCCUUGGCUUGUAUGCCAGGAAAAGAAAUGGACAGCAAUGAUUUCAAGAAGAUGCUCAAAUGAAAUGCGUUUCCUAACAUUGCUUGGGGUUGAGGUCUGGGAUUUAAAACUGUGCUUCAAUUCUGGAUAACUUUUGAAAACUUGUAGUAGAUAAUCCUGCAAACCCUCUUACUGUGCAAUACAACAGAUCAAGACCGUACUCAGUAGAAGGGAUUUGUAGGAUCUGUCAUCAUGACAGUAAGAUGAUUUUACAUUGCUUGUGAUUAAAUAAUGCCUUAGAGAAGGGUGAGAACUGUUUGAAUGGGGGAGGAGAACCAGAGUGGUUCACAGUAAACAAUGAUAAAUGGAAUGUAUGAGGGAGACCUUCAACAAGUUUUGCAAUUUUGGUUUCAGGGGUUCAUCAGGAGAAAGCAGCUAUUAGUCUUCCAGUCAGGAUGACAGAGCUUUGGAAAUACCUCUGAUGAGAUAAGUAGCGUGCAGACUGCUUUGACAUGAGUACAUGUGCUCACAUGGUUUGCAAUGACAGCACCUAGCAGCUCACUUCCACUGUUACAGGGACGAGGGGAGAACUAAGAAAACAUGGAAAACUUUUGUCUAUUUAUUUUUAUUUUAGAAUGUGCCUCUUCUGUAGCCUGUGUUCUUGUUACCAGAAUGGGAUAGCUUUUUUUUUUUUUUACUUCAACAUGUAAAGCUGUGUGAAUCAAGUAGGGAGUAUGUUUUGUUGCCACUUCUUUAUUUUCAGCACUCCGUUUUCAUUUAAGCAUGCUGAGUAAAGUGUUGUGUUUUGGUUUGGUUUGGUUUUUUGUUUGCUUUUUCCAAAAAUGAAGAUUUAGCUAUUUUAGUGUGGAAUUAUAUGUAGUGUUUCUAAAUUAGGCAGUUAUUAAAUUUUAUCAGGACAAUUGUGCAUAUUUCUUUUGCAAUAUUGAAACAACUUGUUUUGUUAAAAUCCUGGGUUUAGUAGACAAAUCUGUUAUUCUUGAAUGUCCUCCUCAUGAUAAACUCAGUGUUGUUAGUUAAGUAUUUAGGCUUCUUUUCUCACUGAUACCUAAGAGUUCCACAGAAUAGGACCAAAAACAAAGUAAAAAUUUUUGAUGCAAAAUUCUAUUCAUGCUCAGUCAAACAGUGUGUUAUAUGGUUGAAAGAAUCUACUCAAUAGCAGAUCUAGAACCCAUUUCUUUCUUUUCGUAGCAGUGUGGAAAUGACACAGCUGAGAAUGUCGACCACAAAGCCCUCAGGCUUAUGAGGAUGUUCUCACUGUCAUCUUAGUUGAAGGAGCACAUGAAAGCAAAUAAAUAACAGCAGGAAAGAAAAAAAAGCAGCAGAAUAAGCAGCGGAGGAAGGUGAACUCUGUGCAGUUCACAGAAUUUUGUUCUGAUCUUGUGCUGUUGGCACUGCCACUCUUGGUAGAAAUCUCGUCUUUUAUCUUUCAAAGUUGGAGAGAAAAGGUGAAAUGUGAUGCAAAGUUAUGUAUGUUGAUACUGUUCCUCCCCUUUCUCUGUUAGUGUCUCUGUUUAGUAGAGCACAAAGCAAUGACUGGAAUUGCAAAAUAGGUUUUACGUAAAUAAUUGGAUGGGCAGAUCAUGUUCUACCAAUUCUAAGAUUCCUAUAUUCCAUGUACCAUAUGUGGCUGUUUUGACUUCUGUCUGUUCAGAAGCUGGAGAGAGAAGUCCAGUUUAUUUCAGUCUCAUAAUUGUGUCUGUCUCAUGGUUAAUGGAGGAAGGUAUAAUGAAAGUAUCCAAAAUACUGUGGGGUUGAAACUGGGAUUCAGCCCAGCAAGCCACAUUAAUCUUAGUUUCUGCUCUCAAACUACUGGAAUUACAAUGGUCCCAAAGUUGCUCUGCUGAAAUGCAAGCCUUGCCAAGUAGCUCUUCUCGUACCCCUUUUUUGGCUUCCAAAGGCCACAGUGGGACAGCCCUAAAAUGAGCUGUGAAUAGUAGUGUCACCUUCAAAGUUCAGUAUGUGAUUUUUCAACUGAGUGUGUGCAAGCACGCAUCAUGUGUGAUUUGCAUUCAGGCUUGGCUAAACUAUUAUUACCCUUACAAACAACAAAACACCUGACAACUCAGUACGCUUUGCAUUGCCCCACAUUUGAGAAGUCUGCCACUUUUUCAGUAGAAUAUUAAAUAAUGCUUUCAAUAGUAGAAAUUUUAUCACAAGCAGCUUUUCUCAGACUCCUUCAUCAUCAAUUUGGAACAGAUAUGAGAUCCCUGGCAACAGUUUCACGGGAUUGUGCAACACUUUCACUGUAGGAGUACAACAUUUUGGUGGAAUAAUUAGCAUUGGGCUAUAGAGAAAUGAGGAACUGUGUUCUUUGCCUGAAGCUGUAUGUACUUCAUUGAAAGGUGUUUGCACAGCAUAAUGGUAUUGUUUCCUGGGUUCUGACAGAAGCUUUAUUGUUGAAGACUUGCAUUUGUCAAUUACUUAAAUGUAAAAUUUGAUAUCCCUGUUUUUCUUCUGCUUUAAUAAACUUUCACAUAUGAUUUGUUAUCAGUCUGAUGAAGUAAUUUUUAUGAAGAGGAAAACAGAGAUGACAGAAAUGACUGAAACUGCUGAAAAUGCUUAUAUUAAAUAUUUUCUUAGGUACUUUUGCUUAUGUUAGAUGACCUUGCACACUCAGGUAAAAGAUCCUUUCCGUUUUGUUAAAAUAUGUGUA